CCUACGGGCCGCACCAGUGGGGAAUAUUGCACGAUGGGCGCAAGCCUGAUGCAGCCAUGCCGCGUGUGUGAAGAAGGCCUUCGGGUUGUAAAGCACUUUCAGCGGGGAGGAAGGCGAUAAGGUUAAUAACCUUGUCGAUUGACGUUACCCGCAGAAGAAGCACCGGCUAACUCCGUGCCAGCAGCCGCGGUAAUACGGAGGGUGCAAGCGUUAAUCGGAAUUACUGGGCGUAAAGCGCACGCAGGCGGUCUGUCAAGUCGGAUGUGAAAUCCCCGGGCUCAACCUGGGAACUGCAUUCGAAACUGGCAGGCUAGUGUCUUGUAGAGGGGGGUAGAAUUCCAGGUGUAGCGGUGAAAUGCGUAGAGAUCUGGAGGAAUACCGGUGGCGCAGGCGGCCCCCUGGACAAAGACUGACGCUCAGGUGCGAAAGCGUGGGGAGCAAACAGGAUUAGAUACCCCGGUAGUC
rnacentral:rRNA from 1 species